CGCUGGCGGCGUGCUUAACACAUGCAAGUCGAACGGAAAGGCCCUGCUUUUGUGGGGUGCUCGAGUGGCGAACGGGUGAGUAACACGUGAGUAACCUGCCCUUGACUUUGGGAUAACUUCAGGAAACUGGGGCUAAUACCGGAUAGGAGCUCCUGCUGCAUGGUGGGGGUUGGAAAGUUUCGGCGGUUGGGGAUGGACUCGCGGCUUAUCAGCUUGUUGGUGGGGUAGUGGCUUACCAAGGCUUUGACGGGUAGCCGGCCUGAGAGGGUGACCGGCCACAUUGGGACUGAGAUACGGCCCAGACUCCUACGGGAGGCAGCAGUGGGGAAUAUUGCACAAUGGGCGGAAGCCUGAUGCAGCAACGCCGCGUGCGGGAUGACGGCCUUCGGGUUGUAAACCGCUUUCGCCUGUGACGAAGCGUGAGUGACGGUAAUGGGUAAAGAAGCACCGGCUAACUACGUGCCAGCAGCCGCGGUGAUACGUAGGGUGCGAGCGUUGUCCGGAUUUAUUGGGCGUAAAGGGCUCGUAGGUGGUUGAUCGCGUCGGAAGUGUAAUCUUGGGGCUUAACCCUGAGCGUGCUUUCGAUACGGGUUGACUUGAGGAAGGUAGGGGAGAAUGGAAUUCCUGGUGGAGCGGUGGAAUGCGCAGAUAUCAGGAGGAACACCAGUGGCGAAGGCGGUUCUCUGGGCCUUUCCUGACGCUGAGGAGCGAAAGCGUGGGGAGCGAACAGGCUUAGAUACCCUGGUAGUCCACGCUGUAAACGGUGGGUACUAGGUGUGGGGUCCAUUCCACGGGUUCCGUGCCGUAGCUAACGCUUUAAGUACCCCGCCUGGGGAGUACGGCCGCAAGGCUAAAACUCAAAGGAAUUGACGGGGCCCCGCACAAGCGGCGGAGCAUGCGGAUUAAUUCGAUGCAACGCGUAGAACCUUACCUGGGUUUGACAUGGAUCGGGAGUGCUCAGAGAUGGGUGUGCCUCUUUUGGGGUCGGUUCACAGGUGGUGCAUGGCUGUCGUCAGCUCGUGUCGUGAGAUGUUGGGUUAAGUCCCGCAACGAGCGCAACCCUUGUUCACUGUUGCCAGCACGUUAUGGUGGGGACUCAGUGGAGACCGCCGGGGUCAACUCGGAGGAAGGUGGGGAUGACGUCAAGUCAUCAUGCCCCUUAUGUCCAGGGCUUCACGCAUGCUACAAUGGCUGGUACAGAGAGUGGCGAGCCUGUGAGGGUGAGCGAAUCUCGGAAAGCCGGUCUCAGUUCGGAUUGGGGUCUGCAACUCGACCUCAUGAAGUCGGAGUCGCUAGUAAUCGCAGAUCAGCAACGCCGCGGUGAAUACGUUCCCGGGGCUUGUACACACCGCCCGUCAAGUCAUGAAAGUUGGUAACACCCGAAGCCGGUGGCCUAACCGUUGUGGGGGAGCCGUCGAAGGUGGGACUGGUGAUUAGG
rnacentral:rRNA from 1 species